CGAUGAACGCUGGCGGUAGGCCUACACAUGCAAGUCGCACGGCGGCACCGUAAAAGCUUGCUCUUACGGGUGGCGAGUGGCGGACGGGUGAGGAAUGCAUCGGAAUCUACUCUGUCGUGGGGGAUAACGUAGGGAAACUUACGCUAAUACCGCAUACGACCUACGGGUGAAAGCAGGGGAUCUUCGGACCUUGCGCGAUUGAAUGAGCCGAUGCCCGAUUAGCUAGUUGGCGGGGUAAGAGCCCACCAAGGCGACGAUCGGUAGCUGGUCUGAGAGGAUGAUCAGCCACACUGGAACUGAGACACGGUCCAGACUCCUACGGGAGGCAGCAGUGGGGAAUAUUGGACAAUGGGCGCAAGCCUGAUCCAGCCAUACCGCGUGGGUGAAGAAGGCCUUCGGGUUGUAAAGCCCUUUUGUUGGGAAAGAAAAGCAGCCGGUUAAUACCCGGUUGUUCUGACGGUACCCAAAGAAUAAGCACCGGCUAACUUCGUGCCAGCAGCCGCGGUAAUACGAAGGGUGCAAGCGUUACUCGGAAUUACUGGGCGUAAAGCGUGCGUAGGUGGUUGUUUAAGUCUGUCGUGAAAGCCCUGGGCUCAACCUGGGAAUGGCGAUGGAAACUGGGCGACUAGAGUGUGGCAGAGGGUAGUGGAAUUCCUGGUGUAGCAGUGAAAUGCGUAGAGAUCAGGAGGAACAUCCGUGGCGAAAGCGACUGCCUGGCCACACUGACACUGAGGCACGAAAGCGUGGGGAAGCAAACAGGAUUAAAUACCCUGGUAGUCCACGCCCUAAACGAUGCGAACUGGAUGUUGGGUGCAGUUGGCACGCAGUAUCGAAGCUAACCGUUAAGUUCGCCGCCUGGGGAGUCGUCGCAGAUGAAAAUCAAGGAUUGACGGGGCCGCCAAGCGGGGAGUAUGGGUUAUUCAAGCACCCGAAACUUACUGCCUUGCCUGCGGGAACUUCGAAUGAUGUGUCUCGGACCUGACACG
rnacentral:rRNA from 1 species